rnacentral:misc_RNA from 1 species
GGUUGGAUCAUUAUAAAAUAAUGGUUCUCUAGGUUGAGUUUUAAAUCUUUUUUAAGGUUUAAAAUUCCUUGGAGAAUUCCAAUCAACCCUUUGUGCACUGUAAAUGUUUUUUCGAGUACUUUUUAAAAAGUGCUCGACAAUAUUUAAAACCCCAUUUUUUAAUUUUGUCUGAAUUUUUUAUGAAAAUAAAAAAAAUACAACUUUUGACAACGGAUCUCUUGGCUCUCGCAACGAUGAAGAACGCAGCGAAAUGCGAUACGUAAUGUGAAUUGCAGAAUUCCGUGAAUCAUCAAAUCUUUGAACGCACAUUGCACUCUAUUUCGGUAGAGUAUGCCUGUUUGAGAAUCUAAUGUAUUCUUUUUCCUAUAAAUAAUUUUAUUGUAUAUAGGAAAGAUUUGUGGAAUCUCUAAGCUUUUUUUUUUAGAGUUCUAUUAAUUACAUAGCUUGGUAAUUAAUCUUGGCUGAAAAGUAUUUGAAUGGAACUUUUUCGUUUCUCCCUAUACAGAAUAAGCUGUUUAAUAAAAUCCAAGUUCUCAAAACCUAUGAAAAAGUUUUUAUGAAUAACCAAACUUUGAUGUAAAAAAUCAAUUGUUUGAUGAAAAUAAAUCUUUUUGAACCAUGGUCUCAAAUCAGGCAGGAUUACCCGCUGAACUUAAGCAUAUCAAUAAGCGGAGGAAAAGAAACUAACAAGGAUUCCCCUAGUAACGGCGAGUGAAGCGGGAAAAGCUCAAAUUUGAAAUCUCACUGUUUUACAGUGCGAAUUGUAGUUUAGAGAAACGUUUUCGGGGUCAAUUAUUAGUACAAGUUCUUUGGAACGAGACAUCAUAGAGGGUGAAAAUCCCGUCUUUGACUAAUAAUUUGAUUCUAUGUGAUACGUUUUCCAAGAGUCGGUUUGUUUGGGAAUGCAGACCAAAAUGGGUGGUAAAUACCAUCUAAAGCUAAAUAUUGGCGAGAGACCGAUAGCGAACAAGUACCGUGAGGGAAAGAUGAAAAGAACUUUGAAAAGAGAGUUAAACAGUACGUGAAAUUGUCAAAAGGGAAACGCUUGAAACCAGUAUUGUUUAUAAUAAUUCAGCUAUUCUUUGAAUAGUGUAUUUUAUUAUGAACGAGUCAACAUCAGUUUUAUUUGAGGUAAAAAACUAUAGGAAGGUGAUCAAUUUUCGGAUUGGUUUUAUAGACUAUAAUUAUGCCUUGGAUAAGACUGAGGACUGCAGCAUUUUUUGGCCAUCUGGCACACCAAUGCUUAGGAUGUUGACGAAAUGGUUUUAAACGACCCGUCUUGAAACACGGACCAAGGAGUCUAACAUAUAUGCGAGUAUUUGGGUGGUAAACUCUUAUGCGUAGUGAAAGCGAAAAGGUGGGAAUCUUUAUUGAUGCACCAUCGGCCGCGCCAGAUUAUUACUAUCUCGGCGUGAGUAUGAGCAUAUCUGUUGGGACCCGAAAGAUGGUGAACUAUGCCUGAAUAGGGUGAAGCCAGAGGAAACUCUGGUGGAGGCUCGUAGCGGUUCUGACGUGCAAAUCGAUCGUCGAAUUUGGGUAUAGGGGCGAAAGACUAAUCGAACCAUCUAGUAGCUGGUUCCCUC